rnacentral:lncRNA from 1 species
GUGAAGGAGGGCUUUCCGGUGGUGGUGGUGGAUUUGUUGGCGGGCUGGGUGAUGUAAUAGGAGUAGUAGGAGGAGCUUCAGUUGGUGGAGGUGGCGGGGGAGAAGAUUCUGGUGGAGGUGAUGAUACUGGAUUCGCUGGAGGAGGAGCUUCAGUUGGUAAAGGUGGUGGGGGAGAAGGUUCUGGUGGAGGAGAUACUGGAAUCGUCGUCGGAGGAGGUCCAGUUAGUGAAGGUGAUGGGGGAGAAGGUUCUGGUGGUGGUGAUGAUAGUGGAGUCUCAGGAGGAGGAGAAGACUGAGCUGGGGUGUUUGUGGUCUCUGGUGGAUUGCCAUUAGUGGGCUCUCUAGU